rnacentral:sRNA from 1 species
GACAGUUUAAAAUGUUGGCCUUUAUGUACCAAAAGUUGCUAGUAAUUCUUGCAUUUGCCUGGUUCGCAUCUGGUGCACCGAUCGCAGACCCUAACGACUCCAAUCUUCGAAACGAAGAUCUUUUAUUGAGGUCAAAUGAUAAUAAUGUUCCCAAGCCUCUGAUUAA